rnacentral:rRNA from 1 species
GACGACAUGAGUUCAGGCCAGCAAACCCGCUGAAUUUAAGCAUAUAAGUAAGCGGAGGAAAAGAAACUAAAUAGGAUUCCCUUAGUAAUGGCGAAUGAACAGGGA